rnacentral:rRNA from 1 species
UACGUAGGGUGCAAGCGUUGUCCGGAUUUAUUGGGCGUAAAGAGCUCGUAGGCGGUCUGUCGCGUCGGAUGUGAAAACCCAGGGCUCAACCCUGGGCCUGCAUUCGAUACGGGCAGACUAGAGUAUGGCAGGGGAGACUGGAAUUCCUGGUGUAGCGGUGAAAUGCGCAGAUAUCAGGAGGAACACCGGUGGCGAAGGCGGGUCUCUGGGCCGAUAUUGACGCUGAGGAGCGAAAGCGUGGGGAGCGAACAGG